GACGUAGGGCGCGAGCGUUGUCCGGAUUUAUUGGGCGUAAAGAGCUCGUAGGCGGCUUGUCGCGUCGAAUGUGAAAACUCAGGGCUUAACCCUGAGCUUGCAGUGGGUACGGGCAGACUAGAGUGCGGUAGGGGAGACUGGAAUUCCUGGUGUAGCGGUGAAAUGCGCAGAUAUCAGGAGGAACACCGGUGGCGAAGGCGGGUCUCUGGGCCGUAACUGACGCUGAGGAGCGAAAGCAUGGGGAGCGAACAGG
rnacentral:rRNA from 1 species